UACGUAGGGGGCGAGCGUUGUCCGGAGUUACUGGGCGUAAAGCGCACGCAGGCGGUCUGUUAAGUUUGGAGUGACAGUUGGUGGCUCAACCACCAAAGUGCUUUGAAAACUGAAAGACUUGAGGGCUUCAGAGGGACACGGAAUUCCGGGUGGAGUGGUGAAAUGCGUAGAGAUCCGGAGGAACACCAAAGGCGAAGGCAGUGUCCUGGGGAGUACCUGACGCUCAGGUGCGAAAGCCAGGGGAGCGAACGGG
rnacentral:rRNA from 1 species